CGAAAGCCUGACGGAGCGACGCUGCGUGAAGGAUGACGGCCUGCGGGUUGUAAACUUCUUUUCUCGAAGAAGAAUAAAUGACGGUAUUCGAGGAAUAAGCAUCGGCUAACUCUGUGCCAGCAGCCGCGGUAAGACAGAGGAUGCAAGUGUUAUUCGGAUUGAUUGGGCGUAAAGCGUCUGUAGGCGGUUUGGAAAGUCUUUUGUGAAAUUCUUCAGCUCAACUGGGGGUCCGCAAAAGAAACUUCUAGGCUUGAGGGAAGUAGAGGUACAGGGAAUUUCCGGUGGAGCGGUGAAAUGCGUAGAUAUCGGAAGGAACACCAAUAUGGCGAAGGCACUGUACUGGGCUUUACCUGACGCUAAGAGACGAAAGCUAAAGGAGUGAUUAGGAUUAGAUACCCUAGUAAUUUUAGCCGUAAACGAUGGAAACUCACUGCCGAGCCGGUAUUCGGAGCGGUGGUCAAGCUAACGCGUGAAGUUUCCCGCCUGGGGACUACGCAUGCAAAUGUGAAACUCAAAGGAAUUGACGGGGACCCGCACAAGCGGUGGAGUAUGUGGUUUAAUUCGAUGCAACGCGAAAAACCUUACCAAGGUUUGAAAUCAUUUCAAAACUCUUUGAAAGAAGAGCCUCCUUCGGGAUGGAAUGACAGGUGGUGCAUGGCUGUCGUCAGCUCGUGUUGUGAAAUGUCAAGUUAAGUCUUGUAACGAGCGCAACCCAUGUCUUUUGUUGCUGUUUACAGUGCUUAAAAGAGACUGCCGCUCUACAGCGGAGGAAGGUGUGGAUGAUGUCAAGUCAGCAUGCCCCUUAUAUCUUGGGCUACACACGUACUACAAUGGUAGGGACAAUGAGUCGCAAACCUGCGAAGGCUAGCCAAUCUCAAAAACCCUAUCUCAGUUCGGAUUGUAC
rnacentral:rRNA from 2 species